rnacentral:rRNA from 1 species
CCUACGGGCGGCAGCAGUAGGGAAUUUUGCGCAAUGGGCGAAAGCCUGACGCAGCAACACCGCGUGAAUGUUAAGCCCCUCGGGGUGUAAAGUCCUGUCAAUAGGGACGAAUUUUUACUGUACCUAUACAGGUAGCACCGGCCAAUUCCGUGCCAGCAGCCGCGGUCAUACGGGGGGCGCAAGCGUUCUCCGGAAUCAUUGGGCGUAAAGCGUUCGUAGGCGGCGAGGUAAGUCUGAUGUUAAAGCCCGGGGCUCAACUCCGGUUCGGCAUUGGAUACUAUCCGGCUAGAAUGUGGUAGAGGUAAGGGGAAUUCCUGGUGUAGCAGUGAAAUGCGUAGAUAUCAGGAGGAACAUCGAUGGCGAAAGCACUUUACUGGGCCGUAAUUGACGCUGAGGAACGAAAGCCAGGGGAGCAAAUGGGAUUAGAUACCCUAGUAGUC